UACAGAGGUCCCAAGCGUUGUUCGGAUUCACUGGGCGUAAAGGGUGCGUAGGCGGUCGGGCAAGUCUGAUGUGAAAUCUCCAAGCUCAACUUGGAAAUGGCAUCGGAUACUAUUCGGCUCGAGGAAUGGAGGGGAGACUGGAAUACUUGGUGUAGCAGUGAAAUGCGUAGAUAUCAAGUGGAACACCAGUGGCGAAGGCGAGUCUCUGGACAUUUCCUGACGCUGAGGCACGAAAGCCAGGGGAGCAAACGGG
rnacentral:rRNA from 1 species